rnacentral:rRNA from 1 species
CCUACGGGUGGCAGCAGUGAGGAAUAUUGGUCAAUGGGCUUACGCCUGAACCAGCAAUGUCGCGUGAGGGAAGACUGCCCUAUGGGUUGUAAACCUCUUUUGUCAGGGAGCAACGCCGGCUACGUGUAGCCGGCCUGCGAGUACCUGCAGCAAAAGCCUCCGCUACCUCCGUGCCAGCAGCCGCGGUAAUACGAAGGAUGCGAGCUUUAUCCGGAUUUAUUGGGUUUAAAGGGUGCGUAGGCGGACUGCAAAGUCAGCGGGAAAAUCGUGGGGCUAAACCUCGCUUCGCAGUUGAAACUGGCGUUCUUGAGUGGGCGAGAAGUAUGCGGAAUGCGUGGUGUAGCGGUGAAAUGCAUAGAUAUCACGCAGAACUCCGAUUGCGAAGGCAGCAUACCGGCGCCCAACUGACGCUGAAGCACGAAAGCGUGGGUAUCGAACAGGAUUAGAUACCCUUGUAGUC